rnacentral:pre_miRNA from 1 species
ACUUGUUUUGUUGGUGGUCACCUAACCAUGCUCCGGUUAGUGCACGGAUCAUGUCCAUGACCUCAUCUCGAUCGUGCAAAGGUUAGAUGACCAUCAGCAAACAUGUU